rnacentral:rRNA from 1 species
GUGGGGAAUAUUGGGCAAUGGGCGAAAGCCUGACCCAGCAACGCCGCGUGAAGGAAGAAGGUUUUCGGAUCGUAAACUUCUAUCCUUGGUGAAGAUAAUGACGGUAGCCAAGAAGGAAGCCCCGGCUAACUACGUGCCAGCAGCCGCGGUAAUACGUAGGGGGCAAGCGUUGUCCGGAAUGAUUGGGCGUAAAGGGCGCGUAGGCGGCCCGGUAAGUCUGAAGUGAAAGUCCUGCUUUUAAGGUGGGAAUUGCUUUGGAUACUGUCGGGCUUGAGUGCAGGAGAGGUAAGCGGAAUUUCCGGUGUAGCGGUGAAAUGCGUAGAGAUCGGGAGGAACACCAGUGGCGAAGGCGGCUUACUGGACUGUAACUGACGCUGAGGCGCGAAAGUGUGGGGAGCAAACAGGAUUAGAUACCCGGGUAGUCC